rnacentral:rRNA from 1 species
CCUACGGGGGGCAGCAGUAGGGAAUCAUUCACAAUGGGGGAAACCCUGAUGCAGCGACGCCGCGUGGGUGAAGAAGCGCCUCGGCGCGUAAAGCCCUGUCAGAAGGGAAGAAAAUGACGGUACCUGAAGAAGAAGCCCCGGCUAACUACGUGCCAGCAGCCGCGGUAAUACGUAGGGGGCGAGCGUUAUCCGGAUUUACUGGGUGAAAAGGCGGCGCAGACGGCGGUGCAAGCAAGGAGUGAAAGCCCGGGGCCCAACCCCGGGACUGCUCUGGGAACUGCGUGGCUGGAGUGCAGGAGGGGCAGGCGGAAUUCCUGGUGUAGCGGUGAAAUGCGUAGAUAUCAGGAGGAACACCAGUGGCGAAGGCGGCCUGCUGGACUGCAACUGACGUUGAGGCCCGAAAGCGUGGGGAGCAAACAGGAUUAGAUACCCCUGUAGUC